UCACUUCCUUGCAUGCGAUUUGAUUUUCACAAUUUUCAUCUCCCUUACGUGCAAACUCUUUUUUCCCAAAUUUCAUCUCCCAUAAGCGCCAACGGCGAGUUGGUCGACCGUACGUUUUUCUGCUUCUACGUUAGCGACAAGUUUCUUUCUCUUUCCUUCCCCCUUCCAUCUGUCGAGAAGUGUCGAUGUCGUUUCUUUCAUCGUCGAGAAGUGUUUCCCUCCAUCGAAAAUUAUUUCCAUUUGUCUCAUUUCCUUCGCUGUAGUUUUACCCUAAGUUGGUGUUCUUUUUCAGCUGAAUAGAAGAUCAAGUCUCGUAUUUGGAACCAAAGUCGGGAAGUAGAUUUCUCAUUCUUCUUCCGCUGAGAAAUCUCAUAUUUGGAACCAAAUUCAACAAUACUUCAACUCCCCCGACUUCAAUAAUUACCUCGUCUUCAGCUUUUCCCGUGCUCAGGUUGACAUGCUACUGCUCCGACAACCACAAACUCAACUUCAGUGCUUGACAAGGUGGCAAUGGGCUGCUUUUUAUAAGACCAUACCACAUCACCACGGCUCAACAAAAGUACAAAACCAGAGGUGCUUUUCCUCUCUUCCAAGUCACCUGCAUAAUCACUAUCCGUGUACCUUAGCAAAUCAACAUUACCUCCAAUUUUUAUAUAAGAUUCCCAAAUUGACAAUGCCUUGUAGAUAUCUUUAAAUUCUCUUUUAGGCUUGAAGAUGAAUUUGUGUA